GCAGAUGCUAUUGCUGCCUCCCCAUAAUCCCAAUUCCUUACUUCUGAAGGCGGAAUUCUCGACAGCCCUAAUAAUCUAACCAAAAGGGAUCACAUGGCCCCAUGGUGGGAUGCAAAAGUCUCAGAUUCAUCCUUCACCCUGUCGGAUCUGUAGCUGAAUCACUUCCUCGUGCCAUUGAUAGUCAUUUGUGUCAUGACAAUCUAGAGCCCAAUCCUAAUUUCCAAAGGAAUUACAAAAUUGUACAAGACCUCUUUCAAAACAUCGAGUUCUCUCCGAUUACCGAGAGAAUUGGGUGCAAAGUCACAUUGACCUCUCGCAAUGAGCCAGGGUUUUAGGUUUCGGAAGUAGGGUAUUCUUAUGUGGGCAGUCUUCGGGUGUGUGCGUCAUCAUUUAUGUGAGUAUUCGUGUGUAUGUGAUUACCUUGACGGCAGUUUACAAGGACGAUCAAUCAUGGACAGGAAGGUUGUAAUGGGCGCAGCUCUUAUUGCAUGGGCCGCUGCGCUACAGGGGCACAUGAUCUGGGUUCAACGACAGGACGCUUUUAAGGAGAAAUUCGGCACGGAGCUUGAGGAGUUGAAGAAGACCAGAAACGAAACCCUAUCUUGAAAACGUCGUGAUCGAGUCACCGGACGAGAGCGAGAGCAAGAGCACGUCGAAGCCGUGACAUGUGUGAGCCUUGCGCGACUUCGUUUCUCUUAUCGUAUGAACGGUGGUCUGUACAGAAGUGCGAUUCUGGAGUGGCGCGUUCGGAACAAUGUGCUACGGUGUGAAGUAGUAGAGUUCUAGGGUUUACUGUACCCCUAUCUAUUGGUGUUGCAGAUACUCUCAGUUGUUAUCGUAGAGUGGAAUUGUAAGCCAAUUUUGAGGCUCAGAUCUUCUCGAAUACAGAUACUUUACCUGAGGAUGAGUACAUGACGUAGGGUCUCACUCACAAAACUAUCCCAGUUUUUUGGUGAUUCGUUCCGCGCUCACUCCUCGAUUAGUUGCUCCCGCGUGUCUGGUUCCAUCCUUGGCUCCAAUCGAAACAAUUCAUUCAAAAUCAGAUGUAAGUGGAGAUUGUGGAAUGUGCUUUACAAAGAGGGGCGGACAUUCGACCUCAAUUGCUUGCAGCA